UGCAGUCGCACGAGACGGGUUAAGCUUGCUUUAACUGUCAGCUAAGUGGCGCACGGGUGAGUAAUAUAUAGGUAACAUGCCUUCGAGAAGGGGAUAACGUUUGGAAACGAACGCUAAUACCCUAUAUGCCUUUAAGACUUAAGUCUGCAAGGGAAGUAUUUAUAGCUCGAAGAUUGGCCUGUACAGCAUCAGUUAGUUGGUGAGGUAAUGGCUCACCAAGACAAUGACGCUUAACUGGUUUGAGAGGAUGAUCAGUCACACUGGAACUGAGACACGGUCCAGACUCCUACGGGAGGCAGCAGUGGGGAAUAUUGCACAAUGGACGAAAGUCUGAUGCAGCAACGCCGCGUGGAGGAUGACACAUUUCGGUGCGUAAACUCCUUUUAUAUAGGAAGAUAAUGACGGUACUAUAUGAAUAAGCACCGGCUAACUCCGUGCCAGCAGCCGCGGUAAUACGGAGGGUGCAAGCGUUACUCGGAAUCACUGGGCGUAAAGAGAAUGUAGGCGGGUAGAUAAGUCAGAAGUGAAAUCCAAUAGCUCAACUAUUGAACUGCUUUUGAAACUGUUUACCUAGAAUAUGGGAGAGGUAGAUGGAAUUUCUGGUGUAGGGGUAAAAUCCGUAGAGAUCAGAAGGAAUACCGAUUGCGAAGGCGAUCUACUGGGAACAUUAUUGACGCUGAGAUUCGAAAGCGUG
rnacentral:rRNA from 1 species